AUCGGGGUGCCUGGAGAUGGUUCCAGUCCGGCCUCAUAAGCCGGUUGACGCGGGUUCGAGUCCCGCCCCCGAAACCA
rnacentral:tRNA from 1 species